GGGGCCGACCUGGUUUCGACGGGGGUUGCAAAGCGGAUGAGGGCAUACCGGGAUCUCAGAUUCCCGUAAAACGCUGAAUUUAUAUAGUCGCAAACGACGAAACUUACGCACUAGCUGCUUAAACCCAGCUGGUCUCUGCACUGAUUUGCUGAUGGGUCAGGCGGGCAACCGCAGCAGAGUCAUUUACAUCUGAUCGUAUUGGGUCGGGUUACUUGAUCCAAUAUUAAAUCCAAGGUAACUCGCUUGUGCCAAGCCUGUCGGUCGGCGUGUCACGGGUUAAAUACAGUUGGCCAGACUAAGUAUGUAGAACUCACCGUAGAGGAUUUCCGGACGCGGGUUCGAUUCCCGCCGGCUCCACCA
rnacentral:tmRNA from 1 species